rnacentral:rRNA from 1 species
AUGCGCCUACGGGGCGCAGCAGUGGGGGAUAUUGCACAAUGGGGGGAACCCUGAUGCAGCGACGCCGCGUGGGUGAAGAAGCGCCUCGGCGCGUAAAGCCCUGUCAACAGGGAAGAAAAUGACGGCACCUGAAGAAGAAGCCCCGGCUAACUACGUGCCAGCGGCCGCGGUAAUACGUAGGGGGCAAGCGUUAUCCGGAUUUACUGGGUGUAAAGGGGGCGCAGACGGCGAUGCAAGCCAGGAGUGAAAGCCCGGGGUCCAACCCCGGGACUGCUCUUGGAACUGCGUGGCUGGAGUGCAGGAGG